rnacentral:rRNA from 1 species
UACGUAGGGACCGAGCGUUGUCCGGAAUCAUUGGGCGUAAAGAGCGUGUAGGCGGCUUGCUAAGUCUUGCGUGAAAUCUCGGGGCUCAACCCCGAGCGGUCGUGGGAAACUGGCAGGCUAGAGUAUGGGAGAGGACAGUGGAAUUCCCGGUGUAGUGGUGAAAUGCGUAGAUAUCGGGAGGAACACCAGUGGCGAAGGCGGCGUCCUGGACCAACACUGACACUGAGGAGCGAAAGCCAGGGGAGCAAACGGG